UACGUAGGUGGCGAGCGUUAUUCGGAUUUAUUGGGCGUAAAGGGUUCGUAGGCGGCGAGGCAAGUUUGGAGUGAAAUCUCAGGGCUCAACCCUGAAACUGCUUUGGAUACUGCCUUGCUGGAGUCCUGGAGAGGUAAGCGGAAUUCCUGGAGUAGCGGUGGAAUGCGUAGAUAUCAGGAGGAACACCGAUGGCGAAGGCAGCUUACUGGACAGGUACUGACGCUGAGGAACGAAAGCUAGGUUAGCAAACAGG
rnacentral:rRNA from 1 species